rnacentral:rRNA from 1 species
GACGCGUUGUUGUCAUGUGCGGUAAAGCGAAUGAUUAGCGUAUUUGGGGGUUUUCAACCUUCAGACGAUUCUCAAACUUUAAAUGCGCAUGAUGAUGGUGCUGUUUAUUUUAAGCAGUUUCGUUAGAAACGUCGGGUUCGUGGGCCACUUUUGGUAAGCAGAACUGGCGAUACGGGAUGAACCGUAAGUGUGGUUAAGGCGCCAAAUUACUCGCUUAUAGACCCCAAAAAAGGUGUUGAUUCAUCGAGACAGCAGGACGGUGGCCAUGGAAGUCGGAAUCCGCUAAGGAGUGUGUAACAACUCACCUGCCGAAUGAAUUAGCCCUGAAAAUGGAUGGCGCUGAAGCGAGUAGCCGACACCACACCGUCUGACCAAAAUUGGUGUAUCCAGAUGAGUAGGGGGACGUGCCGAUUGUAUCGAAGCGUACGGGCAACUGUGCGUGGAACGGUCGGUAGUGCAGAUCUUGGUAGUAGUAGCAAAUAUUCAAGUUCGAUCCUUGAAGGGCGAAGCGGGGAAGGGUUCCACGCGAACAUUGAUUGAGCGUGGGUGAGUCGUUCCUAAGCCGAGUGGUCAUUGCUAAUUACCGGCGAAAGGGAAGCAGGUUGACAUUCCUGCACACGGAUGUGGAGGCGGUGACGCCCAUCUGGGGAGGUGACGUUGGCGGUGGCUCUGGGCAGAGUUUUCUUUUCUGUUUAACCGUCCAUCGCGCUGUGUGGAAUCCGCUUGUCGGGAGAAACACGCGCGGUCGGGCAAAGCGCCGGGGAUUUUCCGGCGUCCAGAUCGCCACCGACAGCCCUUGAAAAACCUUCUGCUGGGGCGAUGGAAUUAUUUCGUUUUGAAAUAAUUUUAUCGCUUGAAUAAAUCCACGCCGUGACGUACCCAUAACCGCAUCAGGUCCCCAAGGUGAACAGCCUCUGCUCAAUAUGAUCAAUGCAGGUAAGGGAAGUCGGCAAAUUAGACCCGUAACUUUGGGAAAAGGGUUGGCUCUAGUGCUGCGUGGGAAUUGAGCCGUCAUUUUCGCCCUCGUUGCUGCGACUUGUGUGUUGGCGGUGAUUUCUUUUCUUUUUGAAGAGUUAUCCUGUUAAUAAGGCGAGAGGCACGUGACGAGGUGUCGAGAUUUCGGCUCGCCCACAGCAUGCAGCAAACUAGAACUGCAACGGGCAAAGGGAAUCCGACUGUUAAUAAAACAAAGCAU